rnacentral:rRNA from 1 species
GACGAACGCUGGCGGCGUGCUUAACACAUGCAAGUCGAACGGAAAGACCCUGCUUUUGCGGGGUGCUCGAGUGGCGAACGGGGGAGUAACACGUGAGUAACCUCCCCUUGUCUGUGGGAUAACUUCAGGAAAAUGGGGCUAAUACCGGAUAGGAGCUCCUGCUGCAUGGGGGGGGUUGGAAAGUUUCGGCGGUGGGGGAUGGACUCGCAGCUUAUCCGCUUGUUGGUGGAGUAGUGGCUUACCAAGGGUUUGACGGGUAGCCGGCCUGAGAGGGGAAACGGGGUCAUUGCGACUGAGGGACGGAGCAGACGGCAACGGGAGGCAGCAGUGGGGAGUAUGACAGAGUGAGGGGGAGCGUGAUGCAAAGGCGCCGCGUGCGGGAUGACGUCCUUCGGGUUGUAAACCGAUGUCGCCGGAGACGAGGCGGUAGUGACGGUAAUGGAUAAAGAAGCACCGGCUAACUACGUG